UAUAAUUGUAUAUAUAUCUCUCUAUGCCUGCUUAGACCUAGUGGGUAGAUCGGUGGAGUCGGCGGCCGAACCCACUGGGAACUAAGGAAGUUAGUUCUCACACCCUACAUUACAGGUACUGGUUCGAGUAUUCCCAGCGAGCGGGAGGAUCGCGGCAAGGGCAUAGCGCCCUAGCGGUGUCGGUUGAUAGUUUGCUUCCUAUAUUGCAUUAGUCCUACCCUAUGUUUACAUUUUGAGAGUAGAUCUUGUAUAGGGUGAGGUUUGAGAGCAUAUGAUGUAUUUAUAUUUUGGAGAAAAAAAAUGCAAGUUGUAUCGAUGCUUAAAGUUUAAUGAAAUUGAAAGAGCUUAAACAAUUUCAAGUUUUAUGGUUUAAAUAGUUAAGUUCUCUCUUUUGUAUACUUGUAUGGUAUUCACUCGUAUCGCUUGCUCUUUGGUUAUUUAGCACUGUUUGUGCUUCUUCGUUGUUGUUGUAUAGAUCGUGUAUGAUUACAAGUGAUUCCUGGGUACUUGUGUACAUGAUCUCGUUGUUGAGCCUAGGGCGGACAGGGGAGACUCUGUCCGUUCGGCCUCACGCCCGCCGUGCCCGAACCGCGCCAAAUUGGUAGCGGUCUCGGGGCGGGGCGUGACAGAAACAGU
rnacentral:lncRNA from 1 species